CGGAUCAUGUGCUUUAGUGAGAUGCUGUGUAGUUCACACUCUUCAUACGCAACGUGUGAAAUGAAUGUAAAAUGUGACUCAAGCUUUUAUAAUAUACAAACAUAAUAACUUCAGUCUUAGUAUUGGAAAUUCAACAGAACUCUUAUAUUAUCAAUGUAUACGGAUUAACCAAGCCAAAUGUGGAUUAAGACUUCUUUUAGAAGGUCAAAACUGGUCUUACCAUGUGGUGUUCAUCUUCAAUACUCUCAUUUUGCUCUUGAGUGGAAUAAUCAACAUACUUCUAUGUCAAAGACUGAGAAGAACAAGUGAAUUGCAAGCAGCACAACUACAUAAGCAAGUUUCAAUAUGUUUCAGGGGUUUCUGACCCAUCUCCACCAGACACACCGGCCUCUGAUGCCAGUUCUUCUCUUAAUCGAGUUAGUCAAAACCUGAACUACACAACUCUGCAAUUUCCUGAAGACAACACAAGUAGCGAGAACUCAGUGAUUGAGCGAAGAAAGACAAGAAGGAAUCCAAUCUACUCCAGCCUUAAAUGUCAAGUGUCAAACAUCACUGAAGAAAGCUGAGCCAUUUCUUGUCUUUCUCAUUUGGUUUUCAAGUGAUAAAUGCAGUAGAAACAGUUGUUAAAAACUUUAAAGUCAGAUAUAAAUAAUAAUAAAAAAAAAAUGGUUAAAAACAGAUUUUAUCAUGAAGAAGUGAAAAUAAUCAUGACAAAACCUUAUGCCUUACAAUGUAGGUUGUUAGCCCUUUAAUAAGGGUGAAAAUCAGUAGUUGGCGCUACUAAGCCUGGAUAGACAAUUCUUUACCCCUGCAAUAUGUAUUUUCAUGCUUUCAAUAUACUUUGUAACAUUAUUAUUAAAAUGGCAUUUGUACUUCACAGUUUCUGUUUUAGUACAGCUUAUAUGCCCUGAUCAAUGUUUAAUAUGUUCUUUUAAACAUGGCACAACAUUUCCUUAAAUAUAGGAAUUAUUACAAUAUGUCAAAGCUGAAGGGUUCAGAACAUAAUAAUAAUGACGAUGAUGAAAAGUUAA